GCAGGAGAACAAGAGAAAAGGCCCGAGAGUCUUAGAUAACUUCCAGCUCGAUAGGGCGAUGAAGCCAGGUGAAAAUUAUACUCAGCAAAGUAAAAGGGGAUAACCUCGCUCUCUCUAUGCAGGUUAGAGAAACCCGGAGCCUGGGGCCAAGUUCUGGGAGCCACACUUUUCAAAUGAAAUAAGAAAAUGGGACAUUCACUGGACAUUAUUGAGCCUUUGAAAAGAAGGAAGUCCUGCCAUAUGCAACAACAUGGAUGAACCUGGAGGACCUGAUGCUAAGUGACAUAAACCGGUCCCAGAAGGACAAGUACUGCGUGAUUCCACUUAACAUGAGAGGUUCAUUUGGAGAUGGACGGGGGAUCCAGCUCUGGUAGGUGAGAUGUGAAGAGAAAUACGUGAAGGAACUUCUAAGGAUGACUGUCCACUCUGAUGAAGAGAAAAGG